CUGGAAAAUGUAUUGGUCAAACUGGAGAUAUCCUCAGUACAAUGCCAUUCGGUUUCUCAUGACAGUAGUCAUUGGUGUCUUGUUUGGUCUACUUUUCUGGCAAACAGGAACUAAAAUGUAAGGCAUCUUCUUUUCUCUAUUCCAUAAGUAAACUAUCAUCUUAUCAAAAUGUGACGUAUUCAUCCAAAAACACCAAAACAGAGAGAAAGAGCAAGACCUGAAUAAUUUCUUUGGAGCCAUGUAUGCUGCUGUAUUGUUCCUCGGUGCCACCAACGCUGCAACAGUUCAACCCGCAGUUGCUAUUGAGCGAACGGUUUUCUACCGCGAAAAAGCCGCUGGAAUGUACUCCGCCAUUCCCUAUGCAAUUUCUCAGGUACUUAACCAUUCUAAUAAUUUUGCCUCAACUUUUAUAUGCUACUUUUCCUAAGAUAUGGUUAUCUAAAAAUGAUGCAGGUAGCAGUAGAAAUCAUGUACAACACUAUACAAACCGGAGUUUACACACUUAUCCUUUACUCGAUGAUCGGAUACGACUGGACUGUGGUCAAAUUCUUCUGGUUCUACUACUACAUGUUAACAUGCUUCGUCUACUUCACCCUAUAC
rnacentral:lncRNA from 1 species